rnacentral:rRNA from 1 species
GACGAACGCUGGCGGCGUGCCUAACACAUGCAAGUCGAACGGAGUUGACCUUCGGGUUAACUUAGUGGCGAACGGGUGAGUAACGCGUGAGAAACCUGCCUCUCAGUGGGGGACAACAGUUGGAAACGACUGCUAAUACCGCAUGACACUUUAGUACCGCAUGGUACAGAAGUCAAAGCUUUAUGUGCUGAGAGAUGGUCUCGCGUCUGAUUAGCUAGAUGGCGGGGUAACGGCCCACCAUGGCGACGAUCAGUAGCCGGUCUGAGAGGAUGAACGGCCACAUUGGGACUGAGAUACGGCCCAGACUCCUACGGGAGGCAGCAGUGGGGAAUAUUGGGCAAUGGGGGAAACCCUGACCCAGCAACGCCGCGUGAAGGAAGAAGGCCUUCGGGUUGUAAACUUCUUUUACCAGGGACGAAGAACGUGACGGUACCUGGAGAAAAAGCAACGGCUAACUACGUGCCAGCAGCCGCGGUAAAAC